GUGUCAGCCGCCGCGGUAAUACCAGCACCCCGAGUGGUCGGGAUGAUUAUUGGGCCUAAAGCAUCCGUAGCCGGUGUAACAAGUCCUCCGUUAAAUCCACCUGCUUAACAGGUGGGCUGCGGAGGAUACUGUUACACUAGGAGGCGGGAGAGGCGAGGGGUAUUCCACGGGUAGGGGUAAAAUCCUCUGAUCCGUGGAGGACCACCAGUGGCGAAGGCGCCUCGCCAGAACGCGCUCGACGGUGAGGGAUGAAAGCUGGGGGAGCAAACCGGAUUAGAUACCCGGGUAGUCCCAGCCGUAAACGAUGUAGGCUCGGUGAUGGACUGGCUCCGAGCCAGUCCAGUGCCGCAGGGAAGCCGUUAAGCCUACCGCCUGGGGAGUACGGCCGCAAGGCUGAAACUCAAAGGAAUUGACGGGG
rnacentral:rRNA from 1 species